rnacentral:rRNA from 1 species
AUUGAACGCUGGCGGCAGGCCUAACACAUGCAAGUCGAACGAGUGGCGGACGGGUGAGUAAUGUCUGGGAAACUGCCUGAUGGAGGGGGAUAACUACUGGAAACGGUAGCUAAUACCGCAUACCAUCGGAGGUGCCCAGACGGGAUUAGCUAGUAGGUGGGGUAAAGGCUCACCUAGGCGACGAUCCCUAGCUGGUCGGAGAGGAUGACCAACCAUACUGGGGCAGAGACACGUUCCAGACUCGUACGGGAGGAAGCAGUUGGGAAUAUGACACAGUGGGCGGAAGCAUGAUUCAGGCAUGCCGCGUGGAUGAAUGAGCCCUUCGGGUUAUAAAGUACUUGCAUCGGGGAGGCGUUACCCGCAGAAGAAGCACCGGCGAACUCCGUGCCAGCAGCCGCGGUAAUAC